UACGGAGGGUGCGAGCGUUUAUCCGGAAUUACUGGGUUUAAAGGGUGCGUAGGCGGCCAGGUAAGUCAGGAGUGAAAGUUUGCGGCUCAACCGUAAAAUUGCUUUUGAUACUGCCAGGCUAGAAUUAGGAUGAGGUCAGCGGAAUGUGGCAUGUAGCGGUGAAAUGCAUAGAUAUGCCAUAGAACACCAAUUGCGAAGGCAGCUGGCUAGACCUGGAUUGACGCUGAGGCACGAAAGCGUGGGGAGCGAACAGG
rnacentral:rRNA from 1 species